rnacentral:rRNA from 1 species
AUCGAACGCUGGCGGCAGGCCUAACACAUGCAAGUCGAACGAACCUUUCGGGGUUAGUGGCGGACGGGUGAGUAACCCGUUGGAACGUGCCUUUAGGCUCGGCCUAACGUAGGGGAACUUGUGUUAAUACCGAAUGUGCUCUUCGGUGGAAAGAUUAAUCGCCUUUAGAGCGGCCGGGGCCUGAUUAGCCAGUUGGUUGAAGUAAUGGCUCACUAAGGCGACGGUCAGUAGCUGGGCUGAGAGGACCGUCAGCCACAGUGAGUCUGGGACGCAGCGCGAACUCCUACGGGAGGCAGCAGUGGGGAAUCUUGCACAGUGGGCUGAAGCCUGACGCAGCCAUGCCGGGUGAAUAAUGAAGGUCUUAGGAUAGUAAAAUUCUUUCACCGGGGACGAUAAUGACGGUACCCGGAGAAGAAGCCCCGGCUAACUUCGUG